UCAAGGUAGGUGUUUUGGCACAAGAGUUUUUGGUUCUCUAGGAGGCAGUUCAAUUUGUCACCUUGUA
rnacentral:tRNA from 1 species